GGUGAUUGGUGGAUGGAAAUGGGAGGUCUGGAAAGUCCCAAAGAGUAAGAAACCAGUAACUAACAGAAAUUUUUGAGUUUCAAGAUAGCAGAUAAGAAAAGAAACUUAAGCCGCUGAAACUCCCUCCACUUGUGAGAUCAAGAAAAACCUGGCUGAAACUGGUUGGAACCAAGAUGGCUAACUGGAGCGUGCACAGAAUAAGCUUGCUGAUGUCAUAGCCUGAAUUUCCACCACAUGUUUCAUACUAACUCUCCCUGAAUUUGCCAUGCAACUCAGGAGUUAACAUGAAGAAAUAACUGUGCAUGCCCAAGGACUUUCCAGACCUCCCUUUUCCUUGCACAAAUCACCUACUAAUCUCAGAAUCCACCCCCGAACCUUUUCUAAUAAAAAUACUGCCUUAAUGCCAGCACAGAGAGACAAAUUUGAGCUUGACUCCUGUCUCCUUCAGAGGUGACUUUUAAUAUAAAGCUUUUCUUUUUUUCAAAAACUUGGUGUCAGUAUUGGGUUCUAGCAUAUUGGGCAGUGAGCCCCUUUUGCUUGAUAACAAACUAGAACCCCAGGUGAGACGAACAACCUGUCCAAGGUACUGUUGCCCCUAGUGGUGUGCAGGCCCCCUGCACUGAUCCUGAGUGGCCACCUAGACCAGGGUGUCCAGAGGCUCGACUAUAGGGUUCCUUCUUCUCCACCAUGGCACUUCAGGCUCCCUUGGCACUUCUCUUUUGGGAAAAGAAAUUGCUUCUGGAUUAGACAUCUUUCUGGGUCUUACUCUGUCACCCAGGCUGGAGUGCAGUGGCAUGAUCUUGGCUCACUGCAGCCCCAACAUCCCCGGCUCAAGCAAUCCUCCCGCCUCAGCCUCCUAAGUAGCUGGGACCACAGAAACCCAAACUGAAGAACAUGUUCAGUGAAGCAACCAGAGCUAAAUCAUUUGAAAUGCAUUAGCCAGUACUCGCCGCAAAUUAAUUUAACACCUGUCACAUGUGUCUGGGUGAUUUUCCCGUGAAAGGUGGCGUGAGUUGAUUGGACUCCAGGAGGAACGCUGCGCUGAAUGGCUCAAGAUUUACUACUAACCACGCACUGCACAGAGAAGGCUGCGUGUUACCAAGGCCUCCAUGGAAUUAGGGGGAACUGCCAACAAACCAGUGCAGAGCCUGCAAAUGUCAGCUAGAAGGAGGAUGAGACAUGAUUUGGAUAUUUUUCCAAGAAGCAAAGGCUCAGUUCAUUUAGAAGAGUUUCCUUAAGGAUAAAGGAAGUAUCCAGAACCUACUCUAAGAAAGGGAAAUGGCUUCAUGCUUUCCUCUCCCAUUCCCAUACCUGCAGGAAAAUCAGAUUUCCUCAUGGUCCUGUCGUUUUCUCAGGCCUGAGAGGAGGGACACUUCACCACCGCCCCCCCUCCCCACCCCCGCCCCAAUCUCAGUGGGCUUAGCAAGACAAGAAGCAGACUCCAGCUUUGGAGAGAUGGGUAGGAGACGCAUUUGGCCUGGUUCAGCUACUACUUUAGAUGUAGAUCUUGAACAAGUUUCAAAAAUGAAUGAAAGUAGCUUUUUAUGAAUCUGGGCCCGAUCUCCCGAUUGCCCCUCCAGAGCGGCUCCCUGCCCUUCCCUGCCCCUGAAGGCUGACCUGUGAGCCCCUUUGGGCUGCUGAUGGACCUGUGCUCCCACCCUGGCUGAAAAAGCAAAGAAAAGGGAGUGGCUAUCAGAAAAUGGAAGAAGAGAGUAAAGAAGACAGUGCUGGCUUGAGAGAAGCAGUGGCUUCAGGUAAAAGGCUACUGCCAGCGAUAUGGACGGGAGACAGAGAAAUGCUAGAAGAGGGCGGUUCCCCAACAAAGGCCCCACCCACAAGCCUGGACACCUGUGGCCCUAAAUGAGAACAGGCAUUCCUGUUUUUGCACCCAAAAAGUGGUCUUUUGGUAUGCCACACCCCCUAUCCUAUACCCAUAUAAACCCUGAACUCCAGGCUCCAGCUCAGACCAGCAGAGGAGGAGACGAGACAAGCAGACAAUGCAGAACAGUGCAGCAGAGAGAACUCGAGAGGAAUUCAGCCAGGGUGGUCAGAGAGGAGUUUGGCUGCUGGACAGCCCACUCCAAGGGAAGAUCAUCUUCCCACUCCAUCUCCCCUCCUUCCAGCUCCCUAUCCAUCCUGCCGAGAGCCACCUCCACCGUGCAUGAAAACCUCGCAUUCAUCCUUCAAGCCUGUGUGUGACCCGAUGCUUCCGGGACGCUGGGCAAGAGCUCAGGAUACAGAAAGCUGUCACACUGGCCCUCUGCCCUUGAGAAAAGGCAGAGGGUCCAUUGAGCUGUUUAACACUUAAAGCCAUCUGCGGAUGGCAAGGCUAAGAGAAUAUUGUAACAUUGGGGUUGCAGGCACCCACCCCAAGACACUACCAUGGGGCCAGAGCCCAAAGCACCCACCCCAGCCUCUGCACCUGCCCAUCUGAGUGCUCCCUCUCCCGCAAGGGGUUUGAGGCAACGGAACAGGUCUCCUGGGAAGGGGAUCAGGGAACUCUCCCAUUUAACCGGCGCACAGACAUGAAGACACCAUGGGGAGUGUGGGGAGAGCCAGGAGAUGUGUACCGUGACUGCAUCAUCUUUCCACCCUCUGAUCUCCUGUUGAGGGUUCCCACUGAUCAAAUCCAAGAAGCCAGAGGGGAAGAGAGUUCCUCAAUGUAGUCAGUGUCCUGGAGCAAAGAGAGAAGAGGAGAUGAUCCAGGAGCAAAUAGGAGACAACCAGCACAGUUCCCAAAUGUGAGAAACUGAUUACAGCAGAAUCGACUUGAGGCACAUUUUAAAUAUACACAUGAAUUCCUCAGACUCCCCCACUCCCAAUUUCAGAGUAUGUCAGGGGUGGGACCUAAAUAAUUUACGUUAAAAAAAAAAAAUCUUGGCCAGGCACAGUGACUCAUGCCUGUAAUCCCAGCACUUUGGGAGGCCGAGGCAGGCAGAUCACCUGAUGUCAGGAGUUUGAGACCAGCCUGACCAACAUGGAGAAACCCCCUCUCUACUAAAAAUACGAAAAAGUAGCCAGGCGUGGUGGCACACACCUGUAUUUCCAGCUACUCAGGAGGCUGAGGCAGGAGAAUCACUUGAACCCAGGAGAUGGAGGUUGCAGUGAGCCGAGAUCAUGCCAUUGCACUCCAUCCUGGGCAACAAGAGUGAAACUCGGUCUGAAAAAAAAAAAAAAAAAAGAAGAAAGGAAGGAAGGAAGGAAGAAAAGAAAGAAAGAAUCUUCUAUAAAGCAAGCAACUGCAUUUGUUACUAUUCUAGUGUCCUCUCUGGAGUGGCACUUAUCAAAGAAAACAUUGGGUUACUUUCUGUCCUCAAGCACUAACCCCUAGGACAGCUGAAUCUAAGGAUACAUUUUAUACACUUGAACUCAUUAUUGUCCUUUUACCCCCUGAGUAGAAAAUACAAUAGCUCCAAAACAAACACCUGAUUCCUUGAAAAUGCUUCACAGGAAGCCAGCCCCUCAACUUAAAAUGGUAUCAGGUUACAACGGCUGAAGGAGACUGUAUCUCCACAGAGACCAUUCAUUGACAAGGCAUGCCAUUCAGAAGUUUCACUGAAAGAUCGUUCUCUCCAUUAUGAUCAUUGAAGUGAAGGCAAGAGGGGAAAAAAAUUGACAGGCUGAACUCUAGAAACUUGGCUUCAGAAAUGCCUAUUAAUCCAAUACAAUUCAAUACAAUAAAACAUACAAACUCCUGGUAAUCCUCAA